AUGGAGGAUGAUGAGUUGCACUUAUGGGUGCUGCGGUGCCGUGCAUUGCACACCUUGCAGAGCCAGGCUGCUGACAUAAGCAUGUGCACAGGGGCCAGCUGACUCCAU